rnacentral:rRNA from 1 species
UACGUAGGGUGCAAGCGUUAAUCGGAAUUACUGGGCGUAAAGGGUGCGUAGGUGGUGAGGUAAGUCGGAUGUGAAAUCUCCAAGCUCAACUUGGAAAUGGCAUUGGAAACUACCUUGCUGGAGGUUUGGAGGGGGGACUGGAAUUCUCGGUGUAGCAGUGAAAUGCGUAGAUAUCGAGAGGAACACCAGUGGCGAAGGCGAGUCCCUGGACAAAACCUGACACUGAGGCACGAAAGCUAGGGGAGCAAACAGG